GACGAACGCUGGCGGCGUGCUUAACACAUGCCAGUCGAACGGAAAGGCCCUGCUUUUGUGGGGUUCUCGAGUGGCGAACGGGUGAGUAACACGUGAGUAACCUGCCCUUGACUUUGGGAUAACUUCAGGAAACUGGGGCUAAUACCGGAUAGUAUCUCCUGCUGCGUGUUGGGGGUUGGAAAGUUUCGGCGGUUGGGGAUGGACUCGCGGCUUAUCAGCUUGGUGGUGGGGUAGUGGCGUACCAAGGCUUUGACGGGUAGCCGGCCUGAGAGGGUGACCGGGCACAUUGGGCCUGAGAUACGGCCCAGACUCCUACGGGAGGCAGCAGUGGGGAAUAUUGCACAAUGGGCGGAAGCCUGAUGCAGCAACGCCGCGUGCGGGAUGACGGCCUUCGGGUUGUAAACCGCUUUCGCCUGUGACGAAGCGUGAGUGACGGUAAUGGGUAAAGAAGCACCGGCUAACUACGUG
rnacentral:rRNA from 1 species